UACGUAGGGUCCGAGCGUUGUCCGGAAUUACUGGGCGUAAAGAGCUUGUAGGCGGUCUGUCGCGUCUGCUGUGAAAAUCCGGGGCUCAACCCCGGACUUGCAGUGGGUACGGGCAGACUAGAGUGUGGUAGGGGAGACUGGAAUUCCUGGUGUAGCGGUGAAAUGCGCAGAUAUCAGGAGGAACACCGAUGGCGAAGGCAGGUCUCUGGGCCAUAACUGACGCUGAGAAGCGAAAGCAUGGGGAGCGAACAGG
rnacentral:rRNA from 1 species